GCCUCUGUAGUGUAGUGGUAAGUACGCUCGACGCGUAACCGAGAGGUUCGUGGUUCGAUUCCCGGCGAGGGCA
rnacentral:tRNA from 1 species